UUAUUAUAUUUAUUUUUAAUUUAGUAUUAUAUUUAUAUUAUUUUUUUUUUUUUUAGUAUAUAAUUAUAAAAUUUAUAGUUUUUUUGUUAACUGUGAAGGAUUUAAUUUAAUAUAAUUAAAUAAUUAUUAGUACCUUUUGUAUCAGGGUUAAUUUAUUAAAAAAAUUAAUUAUUUUUCCCGAAUUGAAAAUAUUUAAUUUAUAAUUAAUUUAUAUAUAAUAAAAUAUUUUUUGAUUAUAUUUUAGUAAUAAAAAGUUAUUCGUUUUUCAUAUAUAUCUGGUUUUUCAAAAUUAAAUUUAAUUUAGGAUUUAUUUUAUAAUUAUUUGUUUAUUUUUAAAUCAUAAAAUUUUGGGGAAAAGCUCAAUUUUUUUUUAAAAUUCUUUUUUAUUAAUUUUUAUUAGUUUAAAAAUCUUUCAUUAAGUUCGUAAUAGAUUUAAAUUUUUAUUUAAUAUUUUUUUAUAUUUAUAUUAUUAUUGAAAUUUUUUAAUAAAUUUAUUUUUAAUAUUAAUAAUGAUUAAAUUAGUAUAAUUUUAAAUUUAUUAUAAAUGAAUUCGACAAAUAUUAUUUUCAACUGUUUAACAAAAACAUUUCUUUUAGAAAAAAAUUAAAAGUAAUUUCUGCCCAAUGAAAAUUUAAAUGGCUGCAGUAUUUUGACUGUGCAAAGGUAGCAUAAUAAUUAGUCUUUUAAUUGGAGACUGGAAUGAAAGGAUAUAUGAGCUAUAUAUUUUAUUGUUUUAAUAAUUAAAAUUUUAUUUUUAAGUAAAAAAGCUUAAUUAUAUUUUAGGGACGAAAAGACCCUAUAGAACUUUAUUAUUUAUAAAUUAAUAAAAUUUUGGUUAAUUUUAUAUAAUUAGUUAUUUGAAUUAAUUUGGUUGGGGGGACAUUUAAAUAUUUAACUUUAUUUUUUUUUUUCAUUUAUAAAUGAUUUUAUUGAUCCUUAAUAAUAGAUUAUAAGAUUAAGUUACCUUAGGGAUAACAGCGUAAUUUUAAUGGGGAGAUCAUAUCUAUAUUAAAGUUUGCGACCUCGAUGUUGAAUUAAGAUAAGUUUAAGGGGUAGUUUCUUUAUAAAUACUAAGUCUGUUCGACUUUUAAAUUCUUACAUGAUUUGAGUUCAGAUCGGUGUAAGCCAGAUCGGUUUCUAUCUUAAAAUUUUUAUAUUAUUUUAGUACGAAAGGACCAUAUAAUACUAAUUUUUUUUAGUCAUUCAAUUAAUAA
rnacentral:rRNA from 1 species